rnacentral:rRNA from 1 species
ACCAGACUCCUACGGGAGGCAGCAGUGGGGAAUAUUGGGCAAUGGGCGCAAGCCUGACCCAGCAACGCCGCGUGAAGGAAGAAGGCUUUCGGGUUGUAAACUUCUUUUAAGAGGGAAGAGUAGAAGACGGUACCUCUUGAAUAAGCCACGGCUAACUACGUGCCAGCAGCCGCGGUAAUACGUAGGGAGCGAGCGUUGUCCGGAAUUGCUGGGUGUAAAGGGAGCGUAGGCGGGGAUGCAAGUUGGGUGUUAAAUCUACCGGCUCAACUGGUAGUCGCACUCAAAACUGCAGCUCUUGAGUGAAGUAGAGGCAGGCGGAAUUCCUAGUGUAGCGGUGAAAUGCGUAGAUAUUAGGAGGAACACCAGUGGCGAAGGCGGCCUGCUGGGCUUUUACUGGCGCUGAGGCUCGAAAGUGUGAGGAGCAAACAGGAUUAGAUACCCGAGUAGC